GAGAAGGGAGGAGUUAUUCAGGCCUCCGCCAGCUUCUAGGCCCUGGGGAUGGUCUUUCACCUCCCUCUUUCUGAUCUCUUUUUCAUGCUCCUCCUUGCUCCAAAGAAAAGCCGGAUGGCAAAAGAGCCCAGAACCUAUUGGAACUGACAAAAUCAAGUCACGGCGCCUACAAAGAUGAGGGGCAGAUUCUGGCUGCCUUUUAAUUUCGUCCUUCACCUGAUAUCUGUGCCAGAGAAUGUGGCAUGGUUCAGUCUUCCAGGAGUUCUGCUACAGAGAAGAGAGUAACCCCCAUCCAUCAUGGCCAAAGCACCCAGUCAGGCUCCGCUCUGGAUCCAGCCCGACAAAUGCAACCCUUGAAUAGGGUUUGUGCAAGCAAACUGGAUGACGACCGAAGAAACCCUGUCGCUUCUGAGAAGACACCCAAUCCAAGAAUGAAAGCAUCAGGUUCAAUACCUAGGAACUCCUGUAGAGGGUGUUGUGGAAUCUUCUUUAAAAGAACAAAACAAGGCAAAACAAAGUUUAAUAGGGUAGAGCAGCCAGGUGUGGUGGGUCAUGCCUGUAAUCUCAGCAAUUUGGGAGGCCAAGGCAGGAUCUCAGCAAUUUGGGAGGCGAAGGCAGGCAGAUCACUUGAGCCUAGGAGUUCAAGACCAGCUUGGGCAACAUAGCAAGACCCUGCCUAUACCAAAAAAAAAAAGUGAACCUAGGAGUAUGAGGCUGCAGUAAGCUGUGGUUGUACCAGUGCACUUUGGGAGGCCAAGGUAGGCGGGUCUUCUGAGAUCGAGAGUUUGAGACCAGCCUGACCAACAUGGAGAAACCCCGUCUCUACUAAAAGUACAAAAUUAGCCGGCAUGGUGGUGCAUGCCUGUAAUCCCAGCUACUCGGGAGGCUGAGGCGGGAGAAUUGCUUGAACUCAGGAGGCAGAGGUUGUGGUGAGCCAAGAUCGCGCCAUUGCACUCCAGCCUGGACAACAAGAGCGAAACUCCAUCACAAACAAACAAACAAUAAACAAAAACCAUAGAGUGAUUUCUGGCCAACAGAGCAAGAAAGAAGUGAACCAAUGAAAACCGGUCCAAGUCUGGGAGUCAAUAUGGAAAAGCUGCCUAAUUAAUGUGGAAGCCCCAGGGAAAUGAUAUACCAUGAAAACCUAACACUACAAAAACUAGUUGUCAGACACAUGUGAGCAGUGAACAGAAUCCUAAUAUGCUGGUUUAACAUUCAAAACUGGAGAGUGUUUGUGUAUCUUCUAAAGACUGUUUGGGGUUUAUUUGUGGAGUUCAGCUGAGUGUCAUCAGAACAAAGAUUAGUGCAAAAAAUCUUUCAGAAAUCAUGCCCAAACAUUUGCAUGCACCUUAAAUAAGAAAUGAAAUAGCAAGAAGAGUAUGUCACAAUAAAGUAUAAAUAGCAAGUGAUAUGUCUCAUCGUACUGAGACAGUUUUAUAAAUGAGGCAAAGGCCUUGUCAAAAAAUAAUGAUGAUUUUCAAAAUUCUGAAACGCAAAGGAGGAAAACUACUUCAUUCAGUUAACAGGAAGCACACAAGAAUCUCCCCAUCAACCAAGAUUUUUUUUUUCUAUAACCCACGCUUUGUAAGACAAUAAUAGCAAAAACUAUAAACUAGAAUUUGUUGAAAGAACAACUUCUAGAAUUUGCCCUUUAUGUGCUGUUUUACCAUUGUCAUGUCUGUCUCUGGUAUGACUUCCUCAUCUAUUAGUAGCCUCCUAAUAAAUUUGAACAAAUGAAUGAAUGAAUAAGAGACAACUAAGCAUGAGGUAUUGCAAGAUGGUAACUCAUCCAGGGAAAAUUAAAACCUGGAGUGGAUCAGAUGGAAAAACAAAAUAAGACACUAGAAAAAAAUCACCAGGAGGGUUUCAAACCAAAAGAUCCCCUGGUUAACCUUCAGCUAAUUAUAAGAUUUAAUUAACUAGAAAAACUCAAUCCUUGUUUAUUCUAUUUAAUUGAGAUUUUACCAUAUUUAAAAUGAUGUUACUCAAGUGUUCUCAUUAAUAUUUAAUGAAAGUGUGAGAGAAUUGGCUAACCAAAUUUACUGUGCUUAGGUAAACUGUAAUUAGGAAGGGUUAGCAGAGCAUCCCAAGGGACCUAUCAAUCACAAAAUGAAGCGAUACAAUUACAGAUGAAUUUCAACAAGGAAACACACAAAACAGUGAUCCUCAAAAAAGAUGGAAUAAAAUUACUUGAAUGUGGUAGUCGGUUCUGAGAAAUGCAAUCAAUCACAUGUCAUUUCAGACAACUCAGAAGGAAUAACCCUACCCAACAGACUUGAACUCUUUGUGUGUGUGUGUGUGUGUGUGUCUGUGUGUGUGAUAGAAUUUCACUCUUGUCGCCCAGGCUGGAGUGCAGUGCGAUCUCGGCUCACUGCAACCUCUGCCUCCCAGGUUCAAGCAAUUCUUCUGCCUCACCCUCCCUAGUAGCUGAGAUUAUAGGUGCCCACCACCACACCCGGCUAAUUUUGUAUUUUUAGUAGAGAAGGGGUUUCACCAUGUUGGCCAGGCUGGUCUCGAACUCCUGACCUCAGGUGAUCUUCCCACCUGGGCCUCCCAAAGUGCUGGGAUUACAGGCAUGAGCCACUGCACCUGGCCCAGACUUGAACUCUUGAUUGCAUGAAAGUGUAUUAAUCUUCUAUCUGCUUAUUCCCAAUUUCCCAGCUGAUAAAAUGCCCCACUGUUAUUUCACUUAAAUUUGGAAUAACCUGCAUCUAGUUAAGUUGGAGCUACUUUGUCUUGUUGCAGAUUUUCUUUUGCUUUGCUGUCUUCAUUCUAACUUGGCAGAGCCCAGGUGCUUUGUCUCUAUUUGCCUGCAAGACCUCUUUUCCAAGACAUGUCAGGUUUCUCUCUAAAGUACCUUCCACCUGGAGGAUAUCUGUUCUUGUUCUUUAAUUCCUGGCCCUAUUUCCUAUUCAUCUGAAAAACUAGGCUUUGUGAGCAGGAUCAUGCAUGGCAAUGAGUUCUAAUGAGUUUUUAAUGUUUCACACUUCAUGAUGAACAUAUAUUUGCAUUUCAGAAAAUGCUUUUAAGGAAUGUUUUUUUUUUUCUGCCCUCACUCCUAACUCAGUUGCCUUUAAGCAAAACCAAAGAGAGCCAUGGCCAGCCUGUUCAAAUGGCUGCAAUCAUUUAAGCCCCUCUCGCUGCACCCUGGCCCCUCUUGCCUCCCUAGCCUGCCCAUGCUUGCCCCUGUCUCAACUUCUACCCCCACUCCAGCUGAAGAGAUUUGCCAUUCUCAGCUUUCACCUUUGGGGAUCCCUCUUGACCAUGGUUAGCAAUUGCUGUGACCAUCCUCACAUCACAGAUUUUUGGGCUUCUGUUUCUUAGGACAAUGCCUGCUCUCCCUGCUAGCCUAUCCCUCAUCCCAGGCCCUCCAACCUCCAGCCACUGCAACUCUAGAGCCACAUCCUAUCCCAUUGACUAACCCAACUGCCAAGCCAAGCCCAAUCCCCAGACCUGGAGCUCAGAGAAAUUAUUAAUCCAAUCAAAGGCACUAAAGUUGGGAUUCUGACUCUGAAGCAGGUACCAAAUUUUGGACAGAGAGGGGCUCCUGAAACCAUACUAUUCCUGCAUUAAGUGUCUGGCACUAGGCAGGGGAUAUGAUGUGAUCUAACAAGGCCAUGCACUGGAAUUAACCUGCGUGAGCUCCACUUGGCUGCCCUCUAAAGGUCAAUGCAUUGUUUGAGCCUAGGGGAGCCAGUCACUGCUACAUCAAUGGCUGCAUCACGGUAUCCUUUUUAGGACUAAACCUGCAUUUUCCUAAUAUUCAGGUCUGUAGAAACUUUGACUGCAAGAAUUUUACAGGAAUGGGUAAAUAUCUGUAAGUACUUAAAAGUAUAUAUGGUAAUAUAC
rnacentral:lncRNA from 1 species